UGGCCUAGUUGAGUAUGAGAUUAGGCACAAUGAACUUCCUUGGACAUCCCUUAAACCAUGUGCCUACAUGGGUUGCUUACUAGUUCUACCCUUGGCAAGUAGAACAACCUCCACGGAGUAGGAUAGACUCCGGAUUCCAUGCCUAGCUAGUAUGGUCUAUGUCGGUUAUGCCUAUUCCCAUCAUGUGGGAUGUGCACUCUAGUUAUUGGAUAGGUUCUACAACGUGUAGGUAGUAGUAUGGGAUGCUAUCUACACAUGGCACGAGUAGGCUUUGAAGAUACUAAAGUGAGCUCCCUAAGUCUAACGACUAUUAUGUGAAAGUCCCCAUUAUGUGCUUGAAUGUCUCCAAAAUGGUUUCUUAAAGAAUGUUGGCCUAUUGAUGUUAUGUUGUAAAGGAAAUGUCCUUAUCUAAGGUAAUAUUGGGGAAC
rnacentral:lncRNA from 1 species